CCAGAUUGGAAUCACUUUCAUCGAACUUCUGAAAAUUAACAUUUCUCGACUCGGGGUUGAAAGAUGGAAUUGGCUCUGCCGCUAUUUUGUCUCUCCCUGAUUUUGCUAGUGCAAACAGCAAAGAGCAACAUUUUCAAUACAAUAGGAGGAGAUGAGAGAUUCUUUGAGCAGGCCAGAAGUUCGGUCAAAGAGACGGAAAAGGUUGAGGAGGAAGUGAAAUGCCCGGUUGAUGACGGGCGAAUGGAAACGAAAGAAAUGUUAACCACUUUGAUAGCCGAAAUUAGAGAUCUCGAAAACGACGUUGCUGAUCUGAGAAAGGACCUUCACGAAAUUAAGGAGAACAAUUCAAG